GACGAACGCUGGCGGCGUGCCUAACACAUGCAAGUCGAACGGAAAGGCCCUGCGCUUGUGGGUUGCUCGAUUGGCGCGCGGGUGAGAAUCACGUGAGUAAAAUGUACCUGUCUUUGGGAUAAAUCCUGGAAACUGGGGCGCUUAUAGGAUAGGAGCUAUUGCUCCGUGGUGUGGAUUGGUAAGUUUCGGCGGUUGGGGAUGGACUAGCGGCUUCUCAGCUGGUUGGUGGGGUAGUGGCUUACCAAGGCUUUGACGGGUAGCCGGCCUGGGAGGGUUGCCGGCCACAUUGGGACUGAGAGACGGACCAGACGCCUACGGGAGGCAGUAGUGGGGAAUAUUGCACAAUGGGCGGAAGCCUGAUGCGGCAACGCCGCGUGCGUGAUGACGGCUUUCGGGUUGUAAACCGCUUUCGCAUGUGACGAAGCGUGAGUGACGGUAAUGGGUAAAGAAGCACCGGCUAACUACGUG
rnacentral:rRNA from 1 species